GAUGAACGCUGGCGGCGUGCCUAAUACAUGCAAGUCGAGCGAACGGACGAGAAGCUUGCUUUUCUGAUGUUAGCGGCGGACGGGUGAGUAACACGUGGAUAACCUACCUAUAAGACUGGGAUAACUUCGGGAAACCGGAGCUAAUACCGGAUAAUAUUUUGAACCGCAUGGUUCAAAAGUGAAAGACGGUCUUGCUGUCACUUAUAGAUGGAUCCGCGCUGCAUUAGCUAGUUGGUAAGGUAACGGCUUACCAAGGCAACGAUGCAUAGCCGACCUGAGAGGGUGAUCGGCCACACUGGAACUGAGACACGGUCCAGACUCCUACGGGAGGCAGCAGUAGGGAAUCUUCCGCAAUGGGCGAAAGCCUGACGGAGCAACGCCGCGUGAGUGAUGAAGGUUUUCGGAUCGUAAAACUCUGUUAUUAGGGAAGAACAUAUGUGUAAGUAACUGUGCACAUCUUGACGGUACCUAAUCAGAAAGCCACGGCUAACUACGUG
rnacentral:rRNA from 1 species